GUUUCGGGAAAGUUGCCCCGGGGUUAGGAAACGCUCCAUCUGAGCGAAAGGCCCUCCCCACCGGGUCUUGGAGCCAAGGUGUCACCCACCCUGCUGGUUUUCUCUUUGCUGAGAUUGUCUUUCGAUUCCAUUUUUGGCCUAGUUCCCUAAGCCAAACCUCACACAGCUUGGCUGAGAGAGCACAGAACAGGAAAACCGCAUGGAGAAAGGCUGGUCAUAAGGAAAUAGUCACUUGGCUGUCGAUGUCCACAGUCCCCUGACGUCUGUCCCCAGCACUGAGCAGCGGAAACCACAGAUUCUCGAAGCAGGAAUUCAAGUCCUCAGGCAAAGGCACGUUCUGACUGUCUGAUCAGCAUUUUCUAUCGAUCUCUUUACAAAUUACCUUUGUUCUUUCUCUAAGGCCAGACAGGGGUCUGGAGGCUGGAGCAGGAAAGCCAUCCGGGUGAGGUGGCCAGUGCCUCAGACUGCCCAGGGAGCCUCAGCCCUACCCCACAACGUCCGAGGUCCCUGGCUGGAGGAUCUGGAUCUGGGGGCUGCUGUGAGGUGGACAAGGUGCAGCUGAUUCCAGGGCACCCCGAGCUGAAGCAACACCACGAAACCAGCCGCAGGCACUCAGGCCAAGCCGUACCAAGAGGGACGUUCAUCUGCCAGAUCAAACGUGGGGUGCUUGUUUGGCCCAAGGCUGCCCGUGCUGUUCUCUGCCCCUCAGUACGCCAGGUUAUGAGAACGUCAGCACUCCCUGAGAAGGCAGUGACCCCAAGCAGAGCCAGCACGUGAGGAUCCCACUCCUCCUUCCUCAGACUGCCCUGGCCACAGAUCGAUCCUUCCAGUACCACGGCAAGGCUCUUGCCAUGCUGGGAGCUUCUCUCAGAAACGCCUUUUCCAGCCUUCGUGGUCCUUGGAGCAGAAGAACGGGACUUGUUCUUACCCACUCCUGGGGCUUCCUGGGAGUCCAAUAUUUGCAAGCCCUGUGCUUGGGGAAGUCUCAGCUCUGGGUCUGAG